CCCGCGGAAUGUGCGUGUGAGAUGUUUCUGUUGAAUCCUUUGUCUUGUUCUAAAGUUGACAUGGAUUUAUAAAUUCUUACACCGGAUGUAUGUCCUGGACAAUGUGGUGAAAUGGGAAAUGCCCAGUUGACGGUAUCUCUUCAUUCGAGCGGCGGUCCCCUUGACGGCUAGAGAAAUUUGUCUCUGCAGUCCUCAGCAGUUUCCUUCCUGACAUUUUAACACUGAGAUUUGGCAAAUUGGCCCGGGACAGCUAGCAUCUGCUGUAAUGGAGGUUCAUUUUUUACUCAUC